GGGCGAUUAGCUCAGCUGGUUCAGAGCAUCUGGUUUACACCCAGAGGGUCGGCGGUUCGAAUCCGUCAUCGCCCA
rnacentral:tRNA from 4 species